rnacentral:tRNA from 1 species
GCUGCCGUAGCUCAGUGGUAGAGCACGUCCUUGGUAAGGACGGGGUCGGAUGUUCGAUUCAUCUCGGCAGCACCA